rnacentral:misc_RNA from 1 species
GAAGUAUAAUUAGUUUAGAAAGUUCAGUAAAAUUUAAAUUAUAUAGUUUAAUAAUUAGAGUCCCAAAAUGACUAUAUUUUUUAGUGGCUUAUAUAUAUGAGUAGUUGGUUGACUUUGUAUUUGAGAGAGCUCACGAAGUGGAGAAGUACGUCAAAUUCCAUGAGUUUUAUUUGAAUGAUUUGUGAGGGUGAGAAAAAUAGUUAGUGGUUGCAAUUAUUUUUCCGAAUUUUCUUGGUAGAGUAGGUUUACGCUGAAUCACGUAAAAUUUUGUAUUAUUUAUUUUGUGUGGAUGUGUUUUUUCACAACAUGUUCAAACCAUCUCAAACUCCCUUCUCUAAACUUUUCUUCGAUAAAAGCUAUCACAUCUUCAGGUG